rnacentral:rRNA from 1 species
UACAGAGGGGGCAAGCGUUGUUCGGAAUUACUGGGCGUAAAGCGCGUGUAGGCGGCUAAGCAAGUCGGGCGUGAAAUCCCACCGCUCAACGGUGGAAGUGCACCCGAAACUGCAUAGCUAGAGUCCUGGAGAGGAAGGUGGAAUGCUUGGUGUAGAGGUGAAAUUCGUAGAUAUCAAGCGGAACACCGGUGGCGAAGGCGGCCUCUGGACAGUGACUGACGCUGAGACGCGAAAGCGUGGGGAGCAAACAGG